rnacentral:rRNA from 1 species
GACGAACGCUGGCGGCGUGCUUAACACAUGCAAGUCGAACGGAAAGGCCCUGCUUUUGUGGGGUGCUCGAGUGGCGAACGGGGGAGUAACACGUGAGUAACCUGCCCUUGACUUUGGGAUAACUUCAGGAAACUGGGGCUAAUACCGGAUAGGAGCUCCUGCUGCAUGGUGGGGGUUGGAAAGUUUCGGCGGUUGGGGAUGGACUCGCGGCUUAUCAGCUUGUUGGUGGGGUAGUGGCUUACCAAGGCUUUGACGGGUAGCCGGCCUGAGAGGGUGACCGGCCACAUUGGGACUGAGAUGCGGCCCAGACUCCUACGGGAGGCAGCAGUGGGGAAUAUUGCACAAUGGGAGGAAGCCUGAUGCAGCAAAGCCGCGUGCGGGAUGACGGCAUUCGGGUUGUAAACCGCUUUCGCCUGUGCCGAAGCGUGAGUGACGGUAAUGGGUAAAGAAGCACCGGCUAACUCCGUG